rnacentral:lncRNA from 1 species
GGGGGUGUCCCCGGGGUGGGCACCGUGAGGUGAAGAUGCCCCUGAGGUGGGCACUGUCGGGUGGGUAUCGCCCUGAGGUGGGCACUACGAGGUGGGUAUCGCCCUGAGGUGGGCGAUAUCAGGUGGGCAUAGCCCUGAGGUGGGCACUGUCAGGUGGAGAUGCCCUGAAGUGAAGGCACCGUGAGGUGACAUUACCCCUGAGGUGGAGCUGCCCCUGCAUACCACCGUAGGUAUGAGACAGAGGGCACCGCUGAAGUGAAGGAGCCGUGAGAUGGAGGUAUACCCCUGUGUUGACUUAUUUACCCCUGAGGUGGGGGCACCCGUGUGAAGCAGGGGAACCUCCAGGACGGGGACACCCACUGGGGGCUGGGAGCUGCCAUGGGAGCACACUGGGCCAGAGCCCCCCGCAGCUGGGGGAAACGCCUGGAUCUGCAGCACCAACGUGGGACCGUGGAGCUCCGGCUGCUGCCUGGACAGGGCCCUGUGCUCCUCUGCAAGCUGUCGGCGCACCCCCGGGCCAUGGGCAGCGCCUGCCUCGCUGGGAAUGUUUUGGAAGCUGAAACUCAGCGCCAGUGGAUGUCAGUGUGCCAGUGAGGUGGGGUGACCACCCGACUCCCUCUUUCUUGGCCCAGUGGCCUCUAAAAUGCCUCUGAAGCUGUGUUUGUGCCCCAAGCCAGGGGCUUUGCACCGUGCUGCCCCUCAGCUCUUCAUCCAGCAUCAGCUUUGGCCACCAUGGCCCAGGAACACGACGUGACUGCGGAUGCUGCUCUAAUUCAAACGCCAUCCUUGCUCGGGGUGAGCCUCCGGGCACCAUCGCUGCCAUCGUCACUGCCCUCCGAACUUCUCCUGGGCACCGUCCCCAUCAUCGCCCGCAGGGAGGAGAAUCAAAGGCAAGGCGAGCGGAGCGGAGGAAGCCAGCUUGAUUACAGAUGGUAAACACUGGAAACGCAGGCUGCUGGGAAGGACCCGGUGCUCGGGCUGAAGCGAGCCGCAGCAUCGACCUCCCCUCUCCAUCUCAGAUUCAGCCGAGGGCUCUGUCCUUGCUCCCGCCAGCGCAGAUUUGCCCCAGAGGGGGUGAAGGACCCCAUCCUCAUCGCCCCCCGCUUCGCUGCCGCGCUCCCUCUCCUCCGAGGCACGCUGAUUGUACUUAUUAAGAGUUAUUAAUACUUAAUCAGCUGGCGGAUUUAAUUGUGCCAAUAUUAAAAAUGCAUCAAUGUCAAUUUUAUUCAUUAAAUAUUUACUUUGUUGAAGGGAAACUGUUUUGCUGCUGUUUUAAUAUCACUUUCCGAAGCUUUUGGAUGUGACCUCGGUAAAUGUGGGGAGCCCUCGGAUGGGGAGCGACGUGGCAGCGCGGGGCCGGGGCAGGGACCGG